rnacentral:piRNA from 1 species
UAGUCACAAAUAAUAUAAAAUAUCUUGG